rnacentral:rRNA from 1 species
UUCGCAAUGCCCGAAAGGGUGACGAAGCGACGCCGCGUGUGGGAAGAAGGUCUUCGGGUUGUAAACCACUGUCGGGAGUUAGGAAAUGUAAGGGUGCUAAUAGUAUUCUUACUUGACUAAGGCUCCGGAGGAAGCCACGGCUAACUCUGUGCCAGCAGCCGCGGUGAUACAGAGGCGGCAAGCGUUGUUCGGAAUUAUUGGGCGUAAAGAGCACGUAGGCGGCCUUGUAAGUCAGUUGUGAAAGCCUUCUGCUUAACGGAAGAACAGCAGCUGAUACUGCAAGGCUAGAGUGCGGAAGGGGAGAGUGGAACUUCUGGUGGAGCGGUGAAAUGCGUAGAUAUCAGAAGGAACACCGGCGGCGAAGGCGACUCUCUGGUCCGUAACUGACGCUGAGUGUGCGAAAGCUAGGGGAGCAAACGGGAUUAGAUACCCCGGUAGUCCUAGCCGUAAAC